UACACACCAUCUCAGACCACUGCUAAAGACAUUAUCCCCGCUACACCUGAUAAUUUCUCCCACUCAAUCACCAUUUCCUCACCCAUUACUCAACCUUUUUUUGCCAGCACAGUGGCUCAGAUUCAGCCUUCCCCUUCACCUGUUUCACCUUCUCAGGUGAAGGCAGCUAGGGCUCAGCCUGUCUCUGUGGCAUCCCCACCUGUGCCAGCUCCCAGGACGAGAGCAGCUGUGACCCAGUCUACCUCCACACCCGUUCCUGUUUCUCGGGUGGGGGUGACUGGUGUCCAGCCACCUCCCGUGCCUGUCCCAGCACCCAGGGUGAAGGCCGCUAGAACCCAGCCUGACCUCCCUAGAGGCUCAGAAGAGCCAGCCUCUCCACCUGUCAGUUCACCUCUUCAUCCACCUCCUGAUCCAGCCUUUCACGCCCUCGCACUAUCCCUGGUUAGGCUAGAUGAGGUGUCCCCUGCCCAGGCACCAGCUUUACUAGCCCAGGCUGUAGCUCAGCCGUUAGCCACACCAACCUCAGCUCCGUCGUCAGCUUGGCCUACCUCUGUUCAUCCCUUAGCAUCCCCACUCCAGUCAGUUCCCUCACCUGCUGUUCAGCCUCCAACCCAGUCAGUUCCCUCACCUGCUGUUCAGCUCCCAGCCCAGUCAGUUCCCUCUCCUGCUGUUCAGCUCCCAGCCCAGUCAGUUCCCUCUCCUGCUGUUCAGCUCCCAGUCCAGCCAGUUCACUCACCUGCUCUCCAGUCUGCUCCUGUCCAGUCACCUGUAGCUCAGGCUGCUCCAGUCCAGUCAGUCCAGUCGCCUCCUGCCCAGUCAGUCCAGUCGCCUCCUGUAGCCCAGUCUCCUCCUGUCCUCCAGUCUCUUGUAGUCCAGUCUCAUCCCGUCCUCCAGGCCUCUGUAGUCCAGUCAUUCAUCCACCAUCCUGUUCAGUUCCUGAACCUGCAGCCACAGCAUCCAGAGCCAGCUGUGAGCUCUCCCGCUCCUCAGCCAGGGGUUUCCGCACCCGCUGGCCCGGCCGCUCCUCAGCCAGGGGUUUCCACACCCUCUGGCCCUGCCUGUCUCCAGCCAGGAGUUUCCGCGCCUCCUGGCCCUGCCCGUCUCCAGCCAGGGGCUUCUGCACCUCCUGGCCCUGCCUGUCUCCAGCCAGAGGCCUCCGCGCCUACUGGCCCAGCCUCCGAAGCUGUUGCUCCGUCACCGCCGGCUCCCAUGCCGUCGCCUGGUCAAACCUCGGCCUCGGCUCAAGCUUCUGCCUCUGCGUUAGCCUCGCCUGGUCCUGCGGCUGCCACGCCGUCGCCCAAGCCACGUUCUGGACGUCGCUGCCGUCUUCCUCGCGGCCGCCCACCGGACCUUCUCGGUGGCCGCCGCCGUCUUCCUCACGGCCGCCCACCGGACCUUCUCGGUGGCCGCCGCCGUCUUCCUCGCGGCCGCCCACCGGCCGCCCACCAUUAUCCUGCACCGCGAGUCCAGCGUUUGGGUCAUCUCUUCCUCACCUCCACACACGACACUCCUGACAUGUCCUGCAGGUUUUAG
rnacentral:lncRNA from 1 species